GACGAACGCUGGCGGCGUGCCUAAUACAUGCAAGUAGAACGCUGAAGGAGGAGCUUGCUUCUCUGGAUGAGUUGCGAACGGGUGAGUAACGCGUAGGUAACCUGCCUGGUAGCGGGGGAUAACUAUUGGAAACGAUAGCUAAUACCGCAUAAGAGUGGAUGUUGCAUGACAUUUGCUUAAAAGGUGCACUUGCAUCACUACCAGAUGGACCUGCGUUGUAUUAGCUAGUUGGUGGGGUAAGGGCUCACCAAGGCGACGAUACAUAGCCGACCUGAGAGGGUGAUCGGCCACACUGGGACUGAGACACGGCCCAGACUCCUACGGGAGGCAGCAGUAGGGAAUCUUCGGCAAUGGACGGAAGUCUGACCGAGCAACGCCGCGUGAGUGAAGAAGGUUUUCGGAUCGUAAAGCUCUGUUGUAAGAGAAGAACGAGUGUGAGAGUGGAAAGUUCACACUGUGACGGUAUCUUACCAGAAAGGGACGGCUAACUACGUGCCAGCAGCCGCGGUAAUACGUAGGUCCCGAGCGUUGUCCGGAUUUAUUGGGCGUAAAGCGAGCGCAGGCGGUUAGAUAAGUCUGAAGUUAAAGGCUGUGGCUUAACCAUAGUAGGCUUUGGAAACUGUUUAACUUGAGUGCAAGAGGGGAGAGUGGAAUUCCAUGUGUAGCGGUGAAAUGCGUAGAUAUAUGGAGGAACACCGGUGGCGAAAGCGGCUCUCUGGCUUGUAACUGACGCUGAGGCUCGAAAGCGUGGAGAGCAAACAGGGUUAGAUACCCUGGUAGUCCACGCUGUAAACGAUGAGUGCUAGGUGUUAGACCCUUUCCGGGGUUUAGUGCCGUAGCUAACGCAUUAAGCACUCCGCCUGGGGAGUACGACCGCAAGGUUGAAACUCAAAGGAAUUGACGGGGGCCCGCACAAGCGGUGGAGCAUGUGGUUUAAUUCGAAGCAACGCGAAGAACCUUACCAGGUCUUGACAUCCCUCUGACCGCUCUAGAGAUAGAGCUUUCCUUCGGGACAGAGGUGACAGGUGGUGCAUGGUUGUCGUCAGCUCGUGUCGUGAGAUGUUGGGUUAAGUCCCGCAACGAGCGCAACCCCUAUUGUUAGUUGCCAUCAUUUAGUUGGGCACUCUAGCGAGACUGCCGGUAAUAAACCGGAGGAAGGUGGGGAUGACGUCAAAUCAUCAUGCCCCUUAUGACCUGGGCUACACACGUGCUACAAUGGCUGGUACAACGAGUCGCAAGCCGGUGACGGCAAGCUAAUCUCUUAAAGCCAGUCUCAGUUCGGAUUGUAGGCUGCAACUCGCCUACAUGAAGUCGGAAUCGCUAGUAAUCGCGGAUCAGCACGCCGCGGUGAAUACGUUCCCGGGCCU
rnacentral:rRNA from 1 species